AUUUCUGCAAAAAUCAUCAGUCUAAUUCAUUUUUGUUUUCAUUAAAUGUCAAAUAUCCAUAUUCCUCAUUGAUUCUAGUUUGUGAAAACAAGACGGGUUCUCCAGGUUGAGUUUAAAAAGUAGGUAAAAGCAAAGAGGAGAUGUAAGGUCAAACAGGGCCAAACUGUAGUUGUAGAAGCUGCAACGUGUCCACAGUGUAACCAGACUGCUUUGUGGAUGUGCCAACUUUUCUUCUGCCCUCCUCCCGCCCUGACUCUAACAUCAUCGGAUGGACAUGCCUCUUUGGAAGAAGCCUGAUUUUUAUACAAGUUGUUGUAAAAACUGGAAUUAAAGUCUGGAUUUAAGUUUGAUUAAAAUGGGAAUAAAAGUAAAGCACAGGUACUGCUUCCAUGUGGUUUAUUCGUAUGAAAGGUUCUGCAGACAGGGGAAAUAUUGAUGUUUCAUAGUGAAUUUUGGUUUGCACUAUUUUUGUGUGUCUGUGUGGGGAUACUUGAUCAUGAAGGCAUUGAUCUGCACUGUAGGGAUUUGUUGUCUGCUUGUGCUUCUUGCUCACAGUGUACAAGGACCAGAGUUUGCAAAAAAAAAGUUGAGUCAUAUACAGAAAUGUCUGCAAUGAACAGGAGAUUAAAUACCUGCAACAAAGAAAUCCCUCCAGUCCACAAAAGCCUAAAAGGAGAGUCAAAUAAUCUGCGUCUGUGCGUAAAUUACGCACGCUCCAUGUUUGCCAAUAUCACCCCUACAGGAAUCGUUCUUCACCCCGUUUGUCGAGGUCUUAUUAAACUCAAUAAAAGGUUAAAAUAAGCCAGUCCUCAGCCGAUCAGCAUAUCCUUCAUAAAUCGAAGACGGCUAAACUGGAUAAAAUCACCCAGGUCCAACAUCAGCCCGGCGACAAAGUGCCUCAGCUUGGAUAGAGAAGAAA